rnacentral:rRNA from 1 species
UGGGGAAUAUUGGACAAUGGGGGCAACCCUGAUCCAGCCAUGCCGCGUGAGUGAUGAAGGCCUUAGGGUUGUAAAGCUCUUUUACCAGGGAUGAUAAUGACGGUACCCGUGGAGGAAGCACCGGCUAACUCUGUGCCAGCAGCCGCGGUAAUACAGAGGGUGCAAACGUUGCUCGGAAUGACUGGGCGUAAAGCGCGGGCAGGUGGCCUGUUAAGUCGGCUGGGAAAUCCCCUGGCGCAACCAGGGAAGUGCAGUCGAUACUGGCGGGCUCGAGUCCCGGAGAGGGUGGUAGAAUUCCCAGUGUAGAGGUGAAAUUCGUAGAUAUUGGGAGGAAUACCGGUGGCGAAGGCGACCACCUGGACGGGUACUGACACUGAGGCGCGAAAGCGUGGGGAGCAAACAGGAUUAGAUACCCCGGUAGUCC